GUUCUAGUCUCUGAAUAUCUGCUUUGCUACUCAGAUCUUAAUCUUUCCAGAGGUCUUUUUUUGCUCAAGUGACUUUAAAAAGAAGUCCAACUGGAAAAAGACUACUUCUAAGGGAAGUGAAGCCCAAGGAGAGGCCAGUGGUAUCACUAAGCAAAGGAGAGAAAUACAAGAGUUUGGAACUACAAAAGCAGCAAGAAAUUCUGGGAUAGAGAACUGGAGAUGAGGAAGAUGUGCAGAAAUGGAGCCCAAAAACUCUACCCAGGAGGUUCUUGGCUGAAAGAUUGGCAGCAGAUAUGUAGAAAGAGAUACCACAAGGCCUAACAGAGGGUGGAGUUUGCGGGGCUCAGAGCUGUCCCACAAGAGAGACGCAAUGGGUCUUCCAAUGCUGAGAGAUGUUUGGCCACUCUUCCACCCUCACUGUGUACUUCAGUCAUUUAGUUUGGACUCCAGAAAGGACAUGUCUAAGGAAUAAGAACCACUUUAAAGUAGGAAUAUGCCGUAAGACUAAGGAAAAAAUAGAGCAGCUCUAAAAUAACAACAACAACAACAACAAAACCAAGCGUGAAAUAAAAGGAUUUACUACUAACAACCUAACAAAACAAAAUUAAAUAUCUUUUUUAGUAAAAAAUAGACAACAUAAUGAAGACAAAAUAAUUACCACAAUGUCCAGCAUAAGAUUUGAAAAAAUACUAAAUUUGCGAGCCGCAGGAAAAUGUGUACUAAAAUUGAGAAAAAUGCUGCCAAUAGAAACAGAAUUCCAAAUGAUUUGCAGUUUGGAAUUAGCAGACAAGAACUUUGAAGGGCUAUAAAAAUGUACAAAGACACAUAAAAAAAUGUGGGCCUCAAGAACAAACAGAUAAGAAAUGUCUCCAGAGAAAUGGAAACUCUAAAGUAUUCAAUUUCUAGAACGUGUUAAGCAUAUAUCUCUGAUAUGGUUUGCCUGUGUCCCCACCCAAAUCUCAACU
rnacentral:lncRNA from 1 species